AGGGCGAUGCUCGUGUUGCAUACCUGAAAGAGCCCUCGGUUGAUUUGGCAGUCAGUAUUUUGGAUGGAAGUGAGAUUCGUCCUGGCAUUAACAUUUCAGUUACGAAGGCGGUAUUUCAGCAGAAGG
rnacentral:ribozyme from 1 species